rnacentral:rRNA from 1 species
GCCCUUCACUACGGAAUAGCCUCUGGAAACGGAGAGUAAUACCGUAUGCGCCCUUCGGGGAAAGAUUUAUCGGUGAAGGAUUAGCCCGCGUCUGAUUAGAUAGUUGGUGGGGUAACGGCCUACCAAGUCGACGAUCAGUAGCUGGUUUGAGAGGAUGAUCAGCAACACUGGGACUGAGACACGGCCCAGACUCCUACGGGAGGCAGCAGUGGGGAAUCUUAGACAAUGGGCGCAAGUGAUCUAGCCAUGCCGCGUGAGUGACGAAGGCCUUAGGGUCGUAAAGCUCUUUCGCCAGGGAUGAUAAUGACAGUACCUGGUAAAGAAACCCCGGCUAACUCCGUGCCAGCAGCCGCGGUAAUACGGAGGGGGUUAGCGUUGUUCGGAAUUACUGGGCGUAAAGCGCGCGUAGGGGAUUGGAAAGUUGGGGGUGAAAUCCCGGGGCUCAACCCCGAACUGCCUCCAAAACUAUCAGUCUAGAGUUCGAGAGAGGUGAGUGGAAUUCCAAGUGUAGAGGUGAAAUUCGUAGAUAUUUGGAGGAACACCAGUGGCGAAGGGGCUCACUGGCUCGAUACUGACGCUGAGGUGCGAAAGUGUGGGGAGCAAACAGGAUUAGAUACCCUGGGUAGUCCACACCGUAAACGAUGAAUGCCAGACGUCGGGGG